rnacentral:lncRNA from 1 species
UGAAGCUCUGGGGACUCUGGUGGUGGACGCCAACUCCGAGUGAGUCAAACUUGGUUUCAAGUCCCAGCAUCACUGCUAACGAGCUGAAUGAAAUGAAAUCUGUGGAGCCUCAGUUUCUCUCCUCUGCAAAAUGGGGAUAAGAGCUCCCUCUUCAUCAGGUUAUGGUGAAAGAACUAUGGGAGGAUCAACACUACUUGAAGCCACCAGUUUCUGGGAAUAUGUCACAGCGGCCCAGGAAACGCAUGCAGAAGGUUUGGAAAUCUGUCUUUCUGAUGUCUGGGGUAUGUGGUGCCCGUUUCAACACUCUCUGUCCUCAGUGGCACAUUUGGGCUACGUUGACUUGGGCAAUGGUGAGGGAAAUGUGAAGGUGAGCCAAAAGCACAUGGUGCCUGCCUUUGGGGGAUAUAAACAACAGCAGCUCAUUCUCUUGCAGUCCAGGAGGCCAGAAGUCCAGAAUCACGAUGCCACUGGGCCAGCCCCUCUUGGGGCUCCAGGGAGAAUCUGUCCAGUGUUUCUCUCCUGGCCUAGUGGCUGCUGGCUCCUUUGGUGAUGUGUGGCUUGUGGGCACAUCAUAGAGGGCGGCAGGUGGGUCUCCCCUUACUCUGUCUGUGCAUGGCCUUCUCAUAGGGAUACCAGUCACUGGAUUUAGGGUACACUCAAUCCAGUGUGACCCAUGUGAAGUCACGACAUCUGAAAAGACCCUAUUUACAAAUAUAGUCCCAUUUUGAAGUCCCAGGUGGAUAUGAAAUUUGGGGACGCUAUGCAACCCAACACCAUCCCUUUCUGCAGGAGUCUUACUCUUUGGUUUCUGACAUGGGGACACACGUUACAGUGGAAAUGCAUAUUUGGGGCUCCCUGUCUCAGAAAAGGUGUUGUUGAAUCAAUGGCACAUUGAUUGCUUCAGCAAUCUGGGAAAUACUAUGUAAGUUCCCUCCAAACUAUGCCAAUAUGGCCACCGCGUCCUCCAGAAUUCUACUAUUCAUUCAUUCACUAAUUCGUUCAAUGUUUAGUCCUGAUGAUUUGGUUAUGGCCAAAGCAGACACAUCACUGACCUCAGGGAGCAUGUGUUCUGGUGCAAGAACAGACUCUGGGGUCCCCCUGACUCUGCUUAUCCCUCUGACAGCAAAAGUUGUCAGUAAAACAAACAGAAACAAAAACUGCCCAC